UUUAGGAACCCACCUAUAGUAUUGACAUGUUAUUGGGCGUCUUCUUGAAGCAUGGGGCACAUGUAUGUGGGGUGCCCUGAAUGCACUUAGAUCCCAUAAACCCUUACUUGUUGGGUAUUCCUAGUAGCCAUAGCCAUAUUUUCCACCAAAUGAGUUAAUUCAGACAUUUAAGACUGAAGAAAAUAGAUAUUUACUUCAUUCACCCUUCGUAGGGUGUCCCAUAUAGUACCAAAUU
rnacentral:lncRNA from 1 species